GAUUUACUCCCUUCGUUCCAAAUUACUUGUCGCAAGUAUGGAUAUAUCUAGAUGUAUUUUAGUUCUAGAUACAUCCAUUUCUGUGACGAGUAAUUUGGGACGGAGGGAGUAUAUA
rfam:Triticum urartu cultivar G1812 contig799145, whole genome shotgun sequence.